rnacentral:rRNA from 1 species
CUUAAGCAUAUCAAUAAGCGGAGGAAAAGAAACCAACAGGGAUUGCCCUAGUAACGGCGAGUGAAGCGGCAACAGCUCAAAUUUGAAAUCUGGCGCAAGCCCGAGUUGUAAUUUGUAGAGGAUGCUUCUAGGUAGCGACCGGUCUAAGUUCCUUGGAACAGGACGUCAUAGAGGGUGAGAAUCCCGUAUGUGACCGGCCCGCACCUUCCACGUAGCUCCUUCGACGAGUCGAGUUGUUUGGGAAUGCAGCUCUAAAUGGGAGGUAAAUUUCUUCUAAAGCUAAAUACCGGCCAGAGACCGAUAGCGCACAAGUAGAGUGAUCGAAAGAUGAAAAGCACUUUGGAAAGAGAGUUAAAAAGCACGUGAAAUUGUUGAAAGGGAAGCGCUUACAACCAGACUUCUGGGCGGUGUUCCGCCGGUCUUUUGACCGGUCCACUCGCCGUCCCGAGGCCAACAUCAUCUGGGACCGCUGGAUAAGACCUCAGGAAUGUAGCUUCCCUCGGGAAGUGUUAUAGCCUCUGGUGAUGCAGCGCGUCUCGGGUGAGGUCCGCGCUUCGGCAAGGAUGUUGGCGUAAUGGUUGUCAGCGGCCCGUCUUGAAACACGGACCAAGGAGUCUAACAUCUAUGCGAGUGUUCGGGUGUCAAACCCCUACGCGUAAUGAAAGUGAACGGAGGUGGGAAGGGUAACCUGCACCAUCGACCGAUCCUGAUGUCCUCGGAUGGAUUUGAGUAAGAGCAUAGCUGUUGGGACCCGAAAGAUGGUGAACUAUGCCUGAAUAGGGUGAAGCCAGAGGAAACUCUGGUGGAGGCUCGCAGCGGUUCUGACGUGCAAAUCGAUCGUCAAAUUUGGGUAUAGGGGCGAAAGACUAAUCGAACCAU